AUGAUAUUGUCUCUUAUUUAUUGGUACAACAUAUACAACGUAGGAUUAAAUAUUCAGAAAGCAAAGUCUUAAGCCUCUGAAAUGGUUUGCUUUUGUUUUCUAGUAGACCAGAGGAGGAAGGUGUGGCGGACCAAGCCGGUGGCUGGAACAUGUUCAAGAUGUGGGAGCGGAGCAAGCGUGGCUGACAUAAAGACUUCGACUAGGUUUUGCUAUAUUCCGUUUUACUGGAAAUCUUGGAAGGCCAUCAUGUGCACUUUUUGUGGAUCCAUUCUCAAAUCUUACAGAUAAAAAUUCUGCAGACUGGCUCUUGCUUUUUUAUCUUUAUUUCUCUGACCUUUCCGUAUAUUAGGUUGAGCUCUCGACUGUUUUUUUUUUUUUUUAAUUUUCAUUUAUACUUUUAAGUAUUUUGUAUAAUAUUUUUUGGUGUGAGGAAAAGUGUGUAGAGCUGUAUAUAUAAGCUGCUUGAUGUUUGCUAAUGCUGGAGUAUGCAGUUAUGAAGGAAAAUUUUCUCUUGUGAGGAGUAUUAUGAAGAAGUGGAUAAUUAGUUUUAAUUAACUCCGAUUACUAAAAACUGCUUGUUA
rnacentral:sRNA from 1 species